rnacentral:rRNA from 1 species
ACGCUCGACACCUACGGGGGGCAGCAGUCGGGAAUAUUGCGCAAUGGAGGAAACUCUGACGCAGUGACGCCGCGUGCAGGAAGAAGGUUUUCGGAUUGUAAACUGCUUUAGACAGGGAAGAACAAAUGACAGUACCUGUAGAAUAAGCUCCGGCUAACUACGUGCCAGCAGCCGCGGUAAUCUGAGGCGGGCUGGCAAGGC